AGCUCCAAGUCGAAAGGAAGCGACGCAUGAGUUGUUUGGUGCGGUGGGUAGAUACCUCGAGUUUCUCCUCGCCCACCGUAGGCCCCGACCCCUAAAAAGGAAACUUUUGGGACGUCAGAGUGAGAGGAGAAAAGUGUCUUUUUAGUUUAGUUUUGUCAAACCUGAGGAUUCGUUUUUCAGUUUAGCCGGAGCUGUGCCGCAAACGUAGCUGCCGACAUCCCCACGACGCACCCAAGUGGUGGCCCGGAAGCUGGGGAUAGAAAAGUGGCCUCCCCGAAUGCCAGGCACACAGGCCUUACUACCAGAAGCUUGAGCUGGGAGCCUCGGCCGUCGCAUCUCUAAGGUGCAGCGAUACGGCCAACUUCCUUCCGCGAAGCCCUCAGGGUGGGCAACGGAGCUUUUCACCAGACUGAGGGACCGGGCGACCUGGCCGACCGGCGGCUCCUCACCGCCCCCUUGGGGAUUUCUUGAUAAUUCUUUGCCACGAUGCGGGCGGAUGUUGUGGAGCUACUGUUUGUAGAUCGCAGUAGCGUGACAGCACUUAAUCAUGACUACUAAAUCCUCAGAAGUCGAAAAAGCAAGUCCAUACAGAAUAGUUUGACCCUAAUUAAAUUGCGCUUACAAGAUACAGUUUGUUUACUGGGACUUUGGCUAGGUCCCAUCCCGUCUCUGCCUCAGAGUGGUGGUUGCUCUUAGCACCAAGGAAAUACCAGCUUGACAUUUGACUCUAGGAAGCACAGGCCCAAAAGAAGAGGCCCAAGGAGGGACAUUCUUCUUUCCCUUUCCUACCUACAGUUUCUCAAACCAAGUGUCAGAUGGAAAGCAAGGGGUGGUAUCAUCGUAAUUAUACAGUUGACCAUAGAAAAUAAAUUUCAAUCUCAAAGUAAACUCCUAGGCCACCCCCAGAAUCUUAGAGUUUCUCAAUCAUAGAACUCAUUUCUUGUCACAGUCUUGGUUCUUAGCCAAUGUAAAACACCCAACUGACAGGGAAAAUUAAACACCUUUUAACUCCCACACACCUUAAAUGAGAAUUUAAAGUAUCUUUCAGCAAAUGUAUUUAUAAUUUUGAGUGCUUUUAGCCAUGUUAAGGACAAAUUUUCUCCUUCUGAAUGCAGUAAUAAUUUGGCAUUACCCUUUUGGCAGUGUGGUACAAAGUCUUAUAAUCUAGGCUUUAUGGAGCUAUUGAGGAACAACAUAGAUGGCUUCAUGCAAACCCAAACAAUGUAAUAGUAGUUCUUUUCUCUGUAGUCGGUCUACUGCCUGUAGAUGUUUAUUCCUUUUUUUUUUUUUUUUUUUUUUGAGACAGGGUCUCCCUCUGUCACCCAGGCUGGAGUGCAGUGGUGCAAUCAUAGCUCACUGCAGCCUUGACCUCCUGGGCUCAAGGGAUUCUCCGGCCUCAGCCUCUGGAGUAGCUGGGACCACAGGCACAUGCCAUCGUGCAGAAUUUUAAACGGAAGAACGCAGAAGAAUUCUCUUUAUGUUACCUUUAUUUAGCAACAAAUCAACUUGACUCAACUGAUACUUACUGAGUGCCUUUAAAGGUAAGUGAAUAAAAGUCUACCCCUUGUAAAUCCACUUCAAGGAAUUUGUAAUCAAAUAUUGAUGUUUGAGGAUAAUGGGCCUUCCUGUUACUUCUUAGUACUAACCUAGCUUACACUCUACUUUCCUCCCUAAAGUUUACGCAAACUUUACAAACCUAUUAAAAUCCCAUUCCUUCUGUGAAAGAACUGCUCUCUCCUUCCUUGAAUUCCUAUAGCAUAUUAAUUAAUCACAUACUUAUUUGUAAUAUCUUCUCUUGAACUAUUUAACUUCCUGCUCUUCCUACCUAGAUUGUUUCUCUCAGAAGAAAGGAUUUUUUACUUUUCUGUACUUGUGCAUAUAUUAAGACCUCAUUUAUAUGGAACUCUUUGGGAAUGGAUGGUAUGGGAGAUCCAAGUUUUUAAAUAGUUGAAUUACGUGUCAAAACAACUAUUUUUUAUUAAAUUCUUUCUGGAAUAGACUACCUACUUAUUUCAUUGUUUUUUUAAGCACAGAGGGUUAACAUGAUGAACAUUAGCUCUUAUACCAUGUUCUAUAGAAAGAUAGUGGGACAACUGGUAUGGAGUAGAGGGCUAAUAUAUACGUCUCCAGCAGAACCCCUAAGUGUGUGUUCUUUAUCCUUUUUCUUAUCAAGUUAGAAUGAAAUAUGAGCAAUGGCAUACAACUACAAACUGUAACUUGACUAGCUCUCUGCAAAAUUAAUGAAGACAUUAGUCUAAAAUAUUCAAGUCACCAGAAAAAUCUUCACAGUUCGUAGUAGGUUGUGUGACUUGUCUGCUUUAUUGGCUUUACUACAACAGAUCACAUGCACCUCCCUGUCAGCUUGUACUCUUUCCCUUGUACUCCAGCCUAUGGAUGGAGAAUGAAAAGAAAUAUUUCAUAAUUUUAAACACCUGUGGCAAAGAACUUGGAUACAACUUACCCCAACAACCAGCUGAUUGUUCAUUAUUGCAAAAUAUCUUUUUUUUUUUAAACCCAACGCAUUUUUCUGGAUGUAAGAAACAAUACAACCUUUAUUGUUAUUGCUCUCAUAAUGAACGAACUUUUUAUGAAACGUACUAUUUGUUGACUAAAAAGUUGAAUUAAUAAGCUAAUAAUGGAGGGUGUGGCGGAAAAAAAAUACUAGAAUACAACUUAGGUAGCUUUUUAUUGUACAAUCUUGUUUCUUCCUUCAACCUACCCUCUUUGAUAAGAAAAACCGAAGUGGAGAUACCUAAGGCUUUAUAGGGGGAAUGGAGCUACUCCUCAAUUUCUUUAUCUUGCCUCUGCUGUUCCUAGUUGCUUUCACCUUUAGCUACUAUCACCAAUCUCUACUUGCAGUUUUUAGUGUGUAUUGACAGCCUCUUCUCAGCUUUCAAAUAAAAAGGCUGAUGAUAUUUUACAAACUGCCAGCUAAGCAAUGGUGAAGUGAUGGUUUUAUAGACAAGUACAAUUUUCCUUCCAUCACAAUUGUUUUUUGCUAGUUACUUUAGCAACUUUUCUGCUUCCAAACAGGCUACAGCUAAAGGAUGAGGGAUCUGCAAAGCUGGAUCCUUAAGCUACCUGAGAUAUUCAAAUAACGCUUACUGAUAUGAUUUGAUUUGUUCUAAGAAAGGGCUUAGGAAAAGGUAACAAAAAUUGGCUUAAUGUUUACAUUUUGUUUCACUACACUAUGUUAGGUCACCUCACAAAACUUACUUAAAAAGCUUCCCAAAUUGUUCCUGGUAUCCCUGUCUUCCCAUAUAUUCAGGUUAGACUCUCAGUGACACUAAUCUUCUAAUGACCUUUCUUCCUAUCAUUUUUCCAUUUAGGACUUUCUAAUUCCAUCAGGUCUGAACUCCUAUUUAUUAUAAGAUCCAUUCCUAGCCCUCAAAACUCAUACUAUAUACUAAUAGAUAGCAUAUGUUCCAUAAAAACUAUCUUCUAUCUCCACAGGCUAAAAUAUCCUUUUUACUUCUGCCCUUAUUUCCUCCCUAAAAUGUCUUAUAUUUUCACAGAAAGUUCCCUUGAAGCCCAGUUCUAGUACCCUGCACACUGAAAAGCACACAGGAGGGACUAAAAUACUUGCUUUAUUUGAUCUGCCAGUUAAUUUGGGAGAAGUAACUAAUAUGACAGAAAUUAUUUAAAAAUCAAUGUUUUCUGAAAGCUUAUGUUAUUAAACCUUUUAUUUCCUUCAACAUUACUAAAAAUUUAAGAAUCCCCUUUAAAUUUUUCCAUAAAGUUUUCAGGAUGAAUUUGUCACAUAAAAAGAGCCACUCAUUUUCAUGUUA
rnacentral:lncRNA from 1 species